rnacentral:rRNA from 1 species
AUUGAACGCUGGCGGCAGGCCUAACACAUGCAAGUCGAACGAGUGGCGGACGGGUGAGUAAUGUCUGGGAAACUGCACGAUGGAGGGGGAUAACUACUGGAAACGGUAGAUAAUACCGCAUAACAUAGGAUGUGCCAAGAUGGGAUUAGAUAGUAGGUGGGGUAAAGGAUCACCUAGGCGACGAUCCCGAGCUGGUCUGAGAGGAUGCCCAGCCACACGGGAACUGAGACACGGUCCAGACGCCCACGGGAGGCAGCAGUGGGGAAUAUUGCACAAGGGGAGCAAGCCUUAUGCAGCCAUGACGCGUGUGUGAAGAAGGCCUUCGGGUUGUAAAGCACUUUCAGCGGGGAGGCGUUACCCGCAGAAGAAGCACCGGCUAACUCCGUGCCAGCAGCCGCGGUAAUUC